UACGAAGGGGGCUAGCGUUGCUCGGAAUUACUGGGCGUAAAGCGCACGUAGGCGGCUUUCUAAGUCGGGGGUGAAAUCCUGGAGCUCAACUCCAGAACUGCCUUCGAUACUGGAGAGCUUGAGUCCGGGAGAGGUGAGUGGAACUGCGAGUGUAGAGGUGAAAUUCGUAGAUAUUCGCAAGAACACCAGUGGCGAAGGCGGCUCACUGGCCCGGUACUGACGCUGAGGCGCGAAAGCUAGGGGAGCAAACAGG
rnacentral:rRNA from 1 species